UACGUAGGGACCAAGCGUUGUUCGGAUUUACUGGGCGUAAAGGGCGCGUAGGCGGCAAUUCAAGUCAUCUGUGAAAUCUCCGGGCUUAACUCGGAACGGUCAGAUGAUACUGCUUUGCUAGAGUGCGGAAGGGGCAAUCGGAAUUCUCGGUGUAGCGGUGAAAUGCGUAGAUAUCGAGAGGAACACCUGAGGUGAAGACGGGUUGCUGGGCCGACACUGACGCUGAAGCGCGAAAGCCAGGGGAGCAAACGGG
rnacentral:rRNA from 1 species